GGGGAUGAGUGGACGUGUCUGCGUUCCUCUGCUUUAUUUCGAAAACAAAACAGUGCAUCUAGGAAAUACCAUAAAUCAUCGUGCUGGAAUCAGUAGCAAGGCAUUUCCUUUUGAAACAUCGUCCUUGUCUCUAACUUUCCCGUGAUAGCUUGUUGAAUACCGUGUUCGUCUACUGAUCGACAUUAAAGGAGAAGAGAAAGAGGAAGACAAAAGUUAUAAUGACCAUGAGCACAAACCUUCUCGAGACCGAUGUAGUACUGUUUCACUAAGCUACGUUCAAAUGCUGGUACGGGGCUAGGGAAUAUGUCCCAUCAAAGGAUCCCAAAAUGAAACAGCUUCGGUAAGAGGAUUUAAUCGAUUGCGAUCGGAAAAGUUCAACGAAGGGACAUCCGAAGGUACACGCGGAUCGUGAAUCAAAGAAGAAUUUUUGCUCUAAUGAGGGAAUAUUCCUUUCUAGAAAAGAAGAUUUCUUAUCAAUAAUAGCGUUGACAGUGUUCUUGGAUAUCGAACUAUGUUUAUUUUGAUAGCAAUUAGUUAGAAAAUUAUGUUCACCGUAACGAUAUUUAUUUCAACGCCAUGGGUGAAAUUGGGAACGAUAAGGAAAAUCUUGGGCGAUUAAGAAUGAUUUCAGAAAGGAAGAUCUGCGAAUCGAUGUUGAAGAAGAAGAAGAGGAAGAAAAAAGAGAUACAGGAGAUGAAGGUGUCCAAGAGGAGUGUGUAGAUUAUUUGUCCACGCUCGCUCACGAUUUAAUCGAAGAUAGAUUUUAUCUCGACGAUGAUGAUUCCACAGAUAAAUUUAAUUCUAAUCGUAUAGAUGUUUGUCCUUGGCCGAACAUUGACUUUGUAAAUUCCGAUAUAAAUUGGAAAAUUUCUAACACGGUGUAUCGUGAGAACGAAGUUAAAUGGAUCAUCGAGACCUAUCGGGAAAAAUAAAAAUAAUAAGCAAAAAACAGAAAAUGACAUCGAGAAUAGAUACGAUUAUGAGAAUGGAAGGUUUAAUCAUGGAUUGAAGAAUGAGCGCUGGAAAAUAGAAAUGAAAUCAAGGUUCGUCGUCGCCGCCAAUAUAAACGUUUCAUCUUCUUCCUCCUCCUCAUACUGGUUAAUCUCGAUCACGUAAUGAAGACGGGAUGGAACACAAUACUAUGCAUCACGAAAAGACGAGGACGAUGUUUGAAAAGGAAACGC